CUGCAGGUUCUUUGGUCAAUGACGACGCAACUGAGGGCCUGACGAAGAUCGGUCUAAAUUGGGAUCAGAAGUCUUCAACCGCUGGAACGCCAUGCGGAGGUUUGCGAUACUGUGCUUAUUGCUCGUCAACGAGGCAGACGGACUUUGGAGUGUUUCUGGAAAUGAUUCUUCCCGUUCUCACUUGAGUCUGCAUGUGGAGAAUAUGACUUGCAAUAAUGACGUUACCCAUUGCCAAUCUUGCUUCACCGCAAGAGAAGGAGGAAAAGUACAUCUUAUGAUGUUUGACUAUGUGGAAAACCCGUACAGGCUCUUGGAAUACUGUCCUACUGGGACUCACUAUUGGAAGGUGG